UACAGAGGUCCCAAGCGUUGUUCGGAUUCACUGGGCGUAAAGGGUGCGUAGGUGGCUUGGUAAGUUUGAUGUGAAAUCUCCGGGCUUAACCCGGAAAUGGCAUUGAAUACUAUUGAGCUGGAGGUUUGGAGGGGGGACUGGAAUUCUCGGUGUAGCAGUGAAAUGCGUAGAUAUCGAGAGGAACAGCCAGUGGCGAAGGCGAGUCCCUGGACAACACCUGACACUGAGGCACGAAAGCUAGGGGAGCAAACAGG
rnacentral:rRNA from 1 species